rnacentral:rRNA from 1 species
ACCCCUGUGACAUACCUAUACGUUGCCUCGGCGGAUCAGCCCGCGCCCCGUAAAAAGGGACGGCCCGCCCGAGGACCCCUAAACUCUGUUUUUAGUGGAACUUCUGAGUAAAACAAACAAAUAAAUCAAAACUUUCAACAACGGAUCUCUUGGUUCUGGCAUCGAUGAAGAACGCAGCAAAAUGCGAUAAGUAAUGUGAAUUGCAGAAUUCAGUGAAUCAUCGAAUCUUUGAACGCACAUUGCGCCCGCCAGUAUUCUGGCGGGCAUGCCUGUUCGAGCGUCAUUUCAACCCUCAAGCUCAGCUUGGUGUUGGGACUCGCGGUAACCCGCGUUCCCCAAAUCGAUUGGCGGUCACGUCGAGCUUCCAUAGCGUAGUAAUCAUACACCUCGUUACUGGUAAUCGUCGCGGCCACGCCGUAAAACCCCAACUUCUGAAUGUUGACCUCGGAUCAGGUAGGAAUACCCGCUGAACUUAAGCAUAUCAAUAGGCCGGAGGAAAA